GUGCCAUUAUCCACAUUUCUGAAUUGGUUUUUUUUACUAAUAUUUUGUCUUUUAAUUAUUACAUUUAGUCCUUCUCUGAAAAAUAGGGAAGUAUUUCUUCUUUAUAUUAUUAUAACAUAGUUGUAAAUCGAGUUUCGUUUAUUUUCUUUCUUAUUUUUGUAAAGUAAACUCCUUUUUAUGCUUUUUGCUGGGUUUUUAUAUUUGACUGGUGAUAUUAAGGGGAGAUAACCACUUGCACAAAUCGGCAUAA
rnacentral:lncRNA from 1 species